AGAGUUUGAUCAUGGCUCAGGACGAACGCUGGCGGCGUGCUUAACACAUGCAAGUCGAGCGGAAAGGCCCUUCGGGGUACUCGAGCGGCGAACGGGUGAGUAACACGUGAGUAACCUGCCCUAGGCUCUGGGAUAACUGUCGGAAACGAUGGCUAAUACCGGAUAUUCAUCUUCUACCGCAUGGUGGGGGUUGGAAAGUUUUUCGGCUUGGGAUGGGCUCGCGGCCUAUCAGCUUGUUGGUGGGGUGACGGCCUACCAAGGCUUCGACGGGUAGCCGGCCUGAGAGGGCGACCGGCCACACUGGGACUGAGACACGGCCCAGACUCCUACGGGAGGCAGCAGUGGGGAAUAUUGGACAAUGGGCGAAAGCCUGAUCCAGCAACGCCGCGUGAGGGAUGACGGCCUUCGGGUUGUAAACCUCUUUCAGUACCGACGAAGCGCAAGUGACGGUAGGUACAGAAGAAGCACCGGCCAACUACGUGCCAGCCGCCGCGGUAAUAC
rnacentral:rRNA from 1 species